CAUCCUACAGCAGGGCAGGGAUGGAACCAUGAGCCAGAGCAUGGAGGGGCCAUACCUCUUCCAGCUAGGCACAUCCCUGGCCAGCUGGCGGCAACUGGGGGUACUUGGAGGACCUCCACUUUCGUGUGUAGUAGGAUGCUGCUCCAUGAAGCCUGGGGCGGGUCCACAUUCCAGCCCUGCCUGCCUGCCUCGCUAGACUUGUGACUUUAACUUGCUCUUCUUCCUAAAGAGCCUUCUUGGGAUGUACUCUACAAACCUGCCCACUAAUGGAUCAUGGCCUCCAGUUCUUCCCCUGGGAUUUCCCGUGUUGAGCCUUGCCUCUCCUGACAGCUGCAGAAGGAACAUGGCCCUACUUCUGGUGAACAUCCAUCACAUCAAUGGGAGGAUGGUUCCUAGCCUUACUGAAGAGGGCACAGCAUUGUCGAUGGCCAGGAUCCACAUUCUUGGAAUGGGGUUAUAACCAGAAAUUUGUAAAGUUUAAAAAUAAAAUUGU